rnacentral:rRNA from 1 species
AACGAACACUGGCGGCAUGCCUAACACAUGCAAGUCGAACGAUGCCUUCGGGCAUAGUGGCGCACGGGUGCGUAACGCGUGGGAAUCUGCCCUUGGCUUCGGAAUAACAGUUAGAAAUGACUGCUAAUACCGGAUGAUGUCCCCCUGAGAGAUCUUGGGGACCAAAGAUUUAUCGGCCAGGGAUGAGCCCGCGUAGGAUUAGGUAGUUGGUGGGGUAAAGGCCUACCAAGCCGACGAUCCUUAGCUGGUCUGAGAGGAUGAUCAGCCACACUGGGACUGAGACACGGCCCAGACUCCUACGGGAGGCAGCAGUGGGGAAUAUUGGACAAUGGGGGGAACCCUGAUCCAGCAAUGCCGCGUGAGUGAUGAAGGCCUUAGGGUUGUAAAGCUCUUUUACCAGGGAUGAUAAUGACAGUACCUGGAGAAUAAGCUCCGGCUAACUCCGUG